rnacentral:rRNA from 1 species
GAGGCGAUGCUCGGACAGAUCAUUAUCGAGUUUUGAAAGCGAGACUUGCUGCUGGCGCGAAAUCCUCGCGCAGCUGUGCACGGCCUUCGCGCUCAAAUCCAACUCAAACCCCUGUGCACCCUUUUUAUAUAUCGUGCGAGUCGAAGUUAGUAGUCUGAGGUUCUUGUAAGUAAUCGGUAGGAAGGCGAAAGCGAGUAAGUUACUCGUUAGGUAACCUUUCGAAAAUGAAAGCGAGCGCGUCGGGUGAAGACUUCGGCUCAUGUUGUUAUAUUACAAACACCUUAUAUUGUCAUUGUGAAUGUAAUGCUCCUCGUGGGGGAUUAAAGAACUACAACUUACAACAGCGGAUCUCUUGGCUCUCGCAUCGAUGAAGAACGCAGCGUCAAAUGCGAUAAGUAAUGUGAAUUGCAGAAUUCAGUGAAUCAUCGAAUCUUUGAACGCACCCAUUGCGCCCCUUGGUAUUCCGAGGGGCAUGCCUGUUUGAGUGUCAUGUUAAUCUCAAACCACCCUCGUCUUUUUUAAUCGAAGGGCUUGCGGUUUGGACUUGGAGGGUUACUGCUGGCGCCUCUCUUGAGGGGGGUCGGCUCCUCUUAAAUAUAUAAGCUCGGUUUUGGCACGCGUUUACGGUGUGGAAUAGUUGAUUCCAUUCACCAACGAGCGCUUGCCUGACGAGCCUGCUUCUAAUCGUCCGCGCGUCGUCGGACAAGGAGUUUACCUCCUUUUGACUCCUUGACCUCGGAUCAGGAGAUCCCAU